AAAUUUUAGCUCAAUUGGACAAAAGAAAGUAGGUCAAUGAAAAUCAAGAAGUCCAGACACAUUUAUACAAGCCAAUUUAAGGCAUCAACACAAGCAUCAACUUCCAUAAAUCAUAAAACAGUGAAAACAAUUAAGAAAUGAAUGGGAUCAAAACCAUAAUGUCCUACAAUGUGUCUACAAUCCACAUACAAAAUUUCACAUUCAUCCAGUACAAUAUGAGAAUUUC
rnacentral:lncRNA from 1 species